GUCAGCCGUAGCCAUGGUCCCAACACCCGCCGAUCCCAUCGAGUUGCUUCUUCGAAUUUUCCUCCCUUCUCGAACCGACCCAUGAAUUGUACUCUUGUCGUGACCGGAUGGGCGUGUGUCCGUCCCACCGUUGUCCCGCGCGCUUAGCGAGGAUGAGAAGGCCUUGCAAAGGUGGAUCGUGAUGGGGGAGCGAGCGCGGGAUCCGCCCGAUGCCCAUCGCGGUCUCUUUCCCCCACUGUCCACCGCCUGCCACACUACUGCUGACGCUGAUACUGCCGCCGUUUCUGCUGCGUUGAUCAGCGAAUUUAAUGGAUCUGCCGCGCUCGUCUUUUCCUUUUCUCUCGCUUCUUUUGACAUAUUAACUUAAACCCAUCUCUCUCUCUCUCUCUCUCUCUCUCUCUCGUUCCCCUUCAGAUCCGAAUGAGUCGCUUGAAGUACGUUGCUCCGGCGAUACCUCGCACGGUGACCCUACGACCAAAGCUUCUCUUCGCCGAGUUGGAGUCGCUGCCGUCGGUUUCUUUCUUCUUGAUCCCCUCUUCUUGAUUGUUUCCCCGCCGGCUGGAACUCGAGACAUUGAAACCGCCGUGGAGAUGAACCCGCUGUGCUGCAUUGCGCCUGUGUCGCUGGAUCGGGGCGACCGGGAUCCCUCGCCCAUGGUGGGGCUCAAAUCCUCGAAGCCGUCGAUUGGGGCGGAAAGCCCCACCAGGAAUUCGUCGAGCAAGAAGUUGAUCCAGGUCCCGGUGAUCCUCUCGGAUUCCGACGCUGCUGCGUGUGUGGAAACGGAAGCUGAGGAGGCUGAGGGGCUGGAGAGUGGGGAUGGAAGGGGAGGGAGUGGGAAUGGGGCGGUCGCAGGGGUAAUAUGGAAGUGGGUGAACUAUGGGAAGGGGUGGCGGUCGCGAUGGUUCGUGCUGCAGGAUGGGGUGUUAUCGUACUACAAGGUCCAUGGACCGGAUCGGAUAUCGGUUGGUUCGGCCGGGCGUGAAUCUGGGGUCAGGGUUAUCGGGGAGGAGUCGUUGAGACGGAUGAGGAAGGAGCAGCAGUUGGGGAUGGGGAGUGGAGGUUACGCUGGGCCGCGGUGGAAGCCAUUUGGGGAGGUACAUUUGAAGGUCUCUUCAGUUCGUGCCAGCAAGUCAGAUGAUAAAAGGCUGUAUAUUUUUACUGGUACUAAAACUCUUCAUUUACGGUGUGAUUCUAGAGAAGAUCGAACUGCAUGGCUUGAUGCUCUAUUGUCUGCUAAGGAUCAUUUUGCUCGUUCACUGGCAAUUAAUGAACCUGAACCUUCAGUGGAGGUUACUGUCUCAACUGAUAAACUACGAGUAAAACUGAUGCAGGAGGGACUAAGUGAAGCAGCAGUUAAGGAAUGCGAGACUAUUAUGCUAUCUGAAGUCUCUGAGCUGCAGGACCAAUUAAAAUCCUUGCAACAGAGACAUCUUAUUCUACUUGAUACAUUGAGACAACUUGAGACAGAGAAAGUUGAACUGGAGACUACAAUAAUUGAUGAAAGAAAGGAACGUGAAGCACAACUAGGGAUGGUCAACGGAAGAUUUAGUGAUUUCUAUUCCAUUAUCUCAGAGGGCACAGCAACUGACUCUGAAGUCGACAAUGAAAGUCAAGGUGCAGAUGUCGAUACAGAUGAAGAUGAUGGAACAUACUUUGACACAAGGGACUUUUUAUCUGCUGAGUUACUAAGAAAUACUUCUUACCGUAGUAGGGAAGCCAUGGGUAAUGGUUGUGUUGUGUCAGCCUGUAGUAUUGAAUCCACAUUUCCUGCCAAUUGUCAAGAUAUGGUUCUUGGAGUCAGAAGAAUUGAGUAUCCCUAUGUUGAGAGGAGGAACAAAUUGCCUGAGCCAAAGGAAAAAGAAAAGCCUGUUGGCUUGUGGUCGAUAAUUAAAGAGAAUAUUGGGAAGGAUCUUUCUGGUGUCUGUCUUCCAGUUUACUUCAAUGAACCACUUUCUUCCCUCCAGAAAUGCUUCGAGGAUCUUGAGUAUUCCUACCUGGUUGAUCGGGCAUUAGAGUGGGGCAGACAGGGAAACAGCCUAAUGAGGAUUCUACAUAUUGCUGCAUUUGCUGUAUCUGGUUAUGCUUCAACUGAAGGCCGACAAUGCAAACCGUUCAACCCUCUUCUCGGAGAGACAUAUGAAGCUGAUUAUCCAGACAAGGGGCUGCGCUUCAUCUCUGAGAAGGUGAGUCAUCAUCCAAUGGUUGUUGCUUGUCACUGUGAUGGUAGAGGAUGGACAUUUUGUGGAGACUCUAAUCUAAAAGGAAAGUUCUGGGGUCGAUCUAUUCAGCUUGAUCCUAUUGGGAUCCUGACUCUUCAGUUUGAAGACGGAGAAACAUUUCAGUGGAGUAAAGUCACUACUUCUAUAUAUAACAUAAUUAUUGGAAAAAUUUAUUGUGACCACUAUGGUACUAUGCGAAUAAGGGGCAGUGGCCAGUACUCCUGCAAACUCAAGUUCAAAGAACAAUCCAUCAUUGAUCGAAAUCCCCAUCAGGUGCAUGGUUUUGUGCAAGAUAAUAGAACUGGUGACAAGGUAGCAAUGCUGAUGGGAAAGUGGGAUGAGGCAAUGUAUUAUGUGUUAGGAGACCCAACUACAAAGCCAAAGGGUUAUGACCCAAUGUCCGAAGCAGUACUUAUCUGGGAACGAGAUAAGUUUGUAAAUCAAACUCGAUACAACCUCACGCCAUUCGCUAUUUCCUUAAAUGAGCUGACGCCAUCCUUGAUGGAGAAGUUGCCUCCAACUGACUCCCGCUUAAGGCCUGAUCAAAGACAUUUAGAGAAUGGAGAAUAUGAGCUGGCAAAUAUAGAGAAACUUAGGCUGGAACAAUUACAAAGACAGGCAAGGAAGCUACAAGAGAAGGGGUGGCAACCGAGGUGGUUCAGGAGAAAUAGGGAGGAUGACUGUUACCAGUAUGUGGGCGGAUAUUGGGAAGCACGCAAGCAAAGAAAAUGGGAUGAAAUUCCGGAUGUAUUUGGCAAGGGUGACGAUUUGUUGAGUAUAGAGUAAUGUUUUUUUUCUACCUACUAUGUACAUCUAUAAUGCAGGGAAAUUGGGUAUGCAGCCAUAUGUAAUUAGGAGGAUUGACGUGUUAUCAACUAUCAGCCAUUUGUGAUCAAUAUUUCUCUAUGCCCCAUCUUAUGUCAAUUUGGUGUCCUGUGGGGCUGGUUGGAAAGCAUCAGCAAGAGGCAUGUGCCAGGCUAAUCAGUCUGGAGGCAGUUGACAGUCAAACUCGUGUUGCUGCCUGCUGCCUGCUGCCUGCUGCCUGCUGCCUGCUGCAUUCUCUUGUAGUAUCUGGUUCCAUUCUUGUGAUAAAAAGCCAGUUGUCUUAUCUAGAUUCCAAUCCAAGGAAGUGGAGACAGCUAUAUCCAAGAUCAUUGCCGAAGGAAGGUUCGUACUUUCUCCCUACGGUUUAGGAACUGUUCAAACGGCAAAAAAGUGCAGUCCUAUGAUCACAAUAGCAAUAGCCAAUAUAAAAGUCCACAGAAUUUAAACAAAAGUAGUAUUGUCUGCCUACAAGCAUGUGCCUGGGGUCUGAAACCUCACUACUGAGAACCUAGUAGUGCGAGUUGUCUGGUUACAUAUCUUAAUUAUUACUCAGUUUCUGCCGCUGGUUUGCUGAGUGCUGACUAUAUUCAUCUUAAUUUCACAAUUUAAACAAUGAUUUGAGCAUGUAGGUAAACUUUCCUUGUAACCUUAUCUUUGACUCUUUCCAUAUUGUUGCAAGCAAUUAUGAGAUCUACGCGGCCCUUUAUAUUAUUAACCUCAGGUAGUACUUGUUGCACCUCCACCAUCUAUGCAUAUAUUUCUUCAUUCCAUUAAAGUGCGACUUUGAGAUCAUUACCAUACCUGCUGAUAGAAUUUUUGGGUAGUUCCAUGUGCUCAUUCUGCUAGUGCUAGUGCAAGUGGAGCUCACAUGAGACAAGAAACUACAAGAAAGCCCAGAAGGCAGAGAAUCUCCUUGCAGAACUUGUAGGGUAGACUAGGCACCUAGGGAUGGACAGGGGACGGAAUGGAACUCUUAAACCCAGAUUUAUGCUCCCCUAAACCUCCUUACUUUGGCCUGGCGAAGGUGUUUAAUUUAAAUCAACACAAAACAAGAGGAGAGUGAGAGAAUAAUGGGGUGUAUCAGGAGGGUUCUCGUGCUGAUUUGGAUGCUGUUUCUCAUGCUUUCAGGUCUCUUCCUGCACCAUCAGCAAAUCACAGCUGGUGCCAUUAGGAUGCAUGAUCAACAAAUAGUUACGGAAGGAACCAAGGGUAAGAGGCUUUGGUGGUGGGAUCAGGAUUAUGCUCGUGUACGUGACCGGAGGCCGAUAAAUAACAGGUUCAGUCCAUGAAUCGAGUUCAAUCAUUUUUAGCUUCAACUAAUCGCUUUAAUUUCCUCAGUGGAAGAGUUAAAAUUGUAGGAUUCUGAAGUUGUAUUAGUAAUAUUUUUGCCACAAAGGCGUUAAUCAAAUCAUUUCUAGCA